UACGUAGGGGGCGAGCGUUGUCCGGAUUUACUGGGCGUAAAGAGCGCGCAGGCGGUCGUACAAGUCGCGUGUGAAAGCCCCCGGCUCAACUGGGGAGGGUCACGCGAUACUGUUCGACUCGAAGGCAGGAGAGGGAAGUGGAAUUCCCGGUGUAGUGGUGAAAUGCGUAGAUAUCGGAAGGAACAUCAGUGGCGAAAGCGACUUCCUGGACCAAUACUGACGCUCAUGUGCGAAAGCGUGGGGAGCAAACAGG
rnacentral:rRNA from 1 species